UACAGAGGUCCCAAGCGUUGUUCGGAUUCAUUGGGCGUAAAGGGUGCGUAGGCGGCACGGUAAGUCGGGUGUGAAAUCUCGGAGCUUAACUCCGAAACUGCAUUCGAUACUGCCGUGCUUGAGGACUGGAGAGGAGACUGGAAUUUACGGUGUAGCGGUGAAAUGCGUAGAUAUCGUAAGGAAGACCAGUGGCGAAGGCGGGUCUCUGGACAGUUCCUGACACUGAGGCACGAAGGCCAGGGGAGCAAACGGG
rnacentral:rRNA from 1 species